GUUGAACGCUGGCGGCAUGCCUUACACAUGCAAGUCGAACGGCAGCACGGGUGCUUGCACCUGGUGGCGAGUGGCGAACGGGUGAGUAAUACAUCGGAACGUACCUUAUCGUGGGGGAUAACGCAGCGAAAGCUGUGCUAAUACCGCAUACGCCCUGAGGGGGAAAGCGGGGGAUCGCAAGACCUCGCGCGAUUAGAGCGGCCGAUGCCUGAUUAGCUUGUUGGGGGGGUAAAAGCCCACCAAGGCGACGAUCAGUAGCUGGUCUGAGAGGACGAUCAGCCACACUGGGACUGAGACACGGCCCAGACUCCUACGGGAGGCAGCAGUGGGGAAUUUUGGACAAUGGGGGCAACCCUGAUCCAGCAAUGCCGCGUGAGUGAAGAAGGCCUUCGGGUUGUAAAGCUCUUUUGUCAGGGAAGAAACACCGGCUCUAACACAGUCCGGGAAUGACGGUACCUGAAGAGUAAGCACCGGCUAACUACGUGCCAGCCGCCGCAGUAA
rnacentral:rRNA from 1 species